rnacentral:rRNA from 1 species
UACGUAGGGGGGCAAGCGUUUGUCCGGAUUUAUUGGGCGUAAAGAGCUCGUAGGCGGUUUGGUAAGUCUGGUGUGAAAUCUCCACGCUCAACGUGGAGGGGCCACCCGAUACUGCCAUGACUGGAGUCCGGUAGAGGAGUGUGGAAUUCCCGGUGUAGCGGUGAAAUGCGCAGAUAUCGGGAGGAACACCCGUAGCGAAGGCGGCACUCUGGGCCGGAACUGACGCUGAGGAGCGAAAGCGUGGGGAGCAAACAGG